rnacentral:rRNA from 1 species
UGGGGAAUCUUGCACAAUGGAGGAAACUCUGAUGCAGCGACGCCGCGUGAGCGAUGAAGCCCUUCGGGGUGUAAAGCUCUUUCGACGGGAACGAUAAUGACGGUACCCGGAGAAGAAGCUGCGGCUAACUACGUGCCAGCAGCCGCGGUAAUACGUAGGCAGCGAGCGUUGUUCGGAAUUACUGGGCGUAAAGAGUGUGUAGGCGGUGUUCUAAGUCUGGUGUGAAAUCUCCCGGCUCAACUGGGAGGGUGCGCUAGAGACUGGAAUGCUUGAGUAUGGGAGAGGUAAGCGGAAUUCCUGGUGUAGCGGUGAAAUGCGUAGAUAUCAGGAGGAACACCUGUGGUGUAGACAGCUUACUGGACCAUGACUGACGCUGAGACACGAAAGCGUGGGUAGCAAACAGGAUUAGAUACCCUGGUAGUCCACGCCCUAAACGAUGCAUACUUGGUGUGAGCGAUUCAUUUCGUUCGUGCCGGAGCUAACGCGUUAAGUAUGCCGCCUGGGGAGUACGGUCGCAAGGCUG